UACGGAGGGAGCUAGCGUUGUUCGGAAAUACUGGGCGUAAAGCGCACGUAGGCGGCGCAGCAAGUCAGGGGUGAAAUCCCGGGGCUCAACCCCGGAACUGCCUCUGAAACUGCAGUGCUAGAAUCUUGGAGAGGCGAGUGGAAUUCCGAGUGUAGAGGUGAAAUUCGUAGAUAUUCGGAAGAACACCAGUGGCGAAGGCGACUCGCUGGACAAGUAUUGACGCUGAGGUGCGAAAGCGUGGGGAGCAAACAGGG
rnacentral:rRNA from 1 species